rnacentral:rRNA from 1 species
CGCAUCUGUGCAUGCAGCAUAUCAAUAAGCGGAGGAAAAGAAACUAACAAGGAUUCCCCUAGUAACGGCGAGUGAAGCGGGAAGAGCUCAAAUUUGAAAUCUUAAAGGGUUUCCCUUUACGAAUUGUAGUUUAAAGAAGUGUUUUCUGUUGAGGUUUUGGUAAAAGUUCUUUGGAAUAGGACAUCAUAGAGGGUGAGAAUCCCGUAUUUGACCUUUACUUUCAACUUUGUGAUACACUUUCAAAGAGUCGGAUUGUUUGGGAAUGCAGGUCCAAAAUGGGUGGUAAAUUUCAUCUAAAGCUAAAUAUUGGCGAGAGACCGAUAGCGAACAAGUACCGUGAGGGAAAGAUGAAAAGAACUUUGAAAAGAGAGUUAAACAGUACGUGAAAUUGUCAAAAGGGAAGCGUUUGACACCAGUGUUGUUUUUCUGAAAAUCAAUUAAAGAACUGUUUAUGCUAAGUUGUUUAGACUUUAUCAGCUAACUGUUUAGUUUUGAGCUUUUCUUUAAUGCACUUUUCAGUUAACAAGUCAACAUCAAUUUCUUUUGCUGUAAAAAAGCUUGAGGAAGGUGGCUUGAGAUUCGUCUUAAGUGUUUAUAGCCUCUUGCCUAUGCAGUCGGAGAGAUUGAGGUCUGCAGCGUAGAUCCUUCGGGGCUAAAUGCAUUUGUGCUAAGUUAUAGCAUUUUAUAGACAACUUGUUGACUAUGAUUUGUCUUGUAGCUUACUCGCUUAUGUUAUUUUACCUACGCUUAGGAUGUUGACAGCAGUAUAGACUGU